UACGAAGGGUGCAAACGUUGCUCGGAAUCAUUGGGCGUAAAGCGCACGUAGGCGGCUUUGCAAGUCGGAUGUGAAAUCCCUCGGCUCAACCAAGGAAGUGCAUCCGAAACUGCAGAGCUUGAGUACUUAAGAGGAUCGCGGAAUUCCCGGUGUAGAGGUGAAAUUCGUAGAUAUCAGGAGGAACACCGGUGGCGAAGGCGGUUCUCUGGGCAUUACCUGACGCUGAGGAGCGAAAGCGUGGGUAGCAAACAGG
rnacentral:rRNA from 1 species